rnacentral:rRNA from 1 species
CCCUUCGGGGUGUGACUGCGUACCUUUUGUAUAAUGGGUCAGCGACUUAUAUUCUGUAGCAAGGUUAACCGUAUAGGGGAGCCGGAGGGAAACCGAGUCUUAAUUGGGCGUUAAGUUGCAGGGUAUAGACCCGAAACCCGGUGAUCUAGCCAUGGGCAGGUUGAAGGUUGGGUAACACUAACUGGAGGACCGAACCGACUAAUGUUGAAAAAUUAGCGGAUGACCUGUGGCUGGGGGUGAAAGGCCAAUCAAACCGGGAGAUAGCUGGUUCUCCCCGAAAGCUAUUUAGGUAGCGCCUCGUGAAUUCAUCUCCGGGGGUAGAGCACUGUUUCGGCUAGGGGGCCAUCCCGGCUUACCAACCCGAUGCAAACUGCGAAUACCGGAGAAUGUUAUCACGGGAGACACACGGCGGGUGCUAACGUCCGUCGUGAAGAGGGAAACAACCCAGACCGCCAGCUAAGGUCCCAAAGUCAUGGUUAAGUGGGAAACGAUGUGGGAAGGCCCAGACAGCCAGGAUGUUGGCUUAGAAGCAGCCAUCAUUUAAAGAAAGCGUAAUAGCUCACUGGUCGAGUCGGCCUGCGCGGAAGAUGUAACGGGGCUAAACCAUGCACCGAAGCUGCGGCAGCGAACGUAUCACCCAAGACAACUUUACGGAGUUGACGAUUGACGGAGCGAAGCGACGUCAAAGCGUUCAUUAAAGUCGAGUUGGCUUAGGGAUACGUUCGUUGGGUAGGGGAGCGUUCUGUAAGCCUGUGAAGGUGUGUCGUGAGGCAUGCUGGAGGUAUCAGAAGUGCGAAUGCUGACAUAAGUAACGAUAAAGCGGGUGAAAAGCCCGCUCGCCGGAAGACCAAGGGUUCCUGUCCAACGUUAAUCGGGGCAGGGUGAGUCGACCCCUAAGGCGAGGCCGAAAGGCGUAGUCGAUGGGAAACGGGUUAAUAUUCCCGUACUUGGUGUUACUGCGAAGGGGGGACGGAGAAGGCUAUGUUGGCCGGGCGACGGUUGUCCCGGUUUAAGCGUGUAGGUGUGUGUUCCAGGUAAAUCCGGUUCACUUUAACACUGAGGCGUGACGACGAGGCACUACGGUGCUGAAGCAACAAAUGCCCUGCUUCCAGGAAAAGCCUCUAAGCAUCAGGUAACACGAAAUCGUACCCCAAACCGACACAGGUGGUCAGGUAGAGAAUACCAAGGCGCUUGAGAGAACUCGGGUGAAGGAACUAGGCAAAAUGGUGCCGUAACUUCGGGAGAAGGCACGCUGACACGUAGGUGAAGUGAUUUACUCAUGGAGCUGAAGUCAGUCGAAGAUACCAGCUGGCUGCAACUGUUUAUUAAAAACACAGCACUGUGCAAACACGAAAGUGGACGUAUACGGUGUGACGCCUGCCCGGUGCCGGAAGGUUAAUUGAUGGGGUCAGCGUAAGCGAAGCUCCUGAUCGAAGCCCCGGUAAACGGCGGCCGUAACUAUAACGGUCCUAAGGUAGCGAAAUUCCUUGUCGGGUAAGUUCCGACCUGCACGAAUGGCGUAAUGAUGGCCAGGCUGUCUCCACCCGAGACUCAGUGAAAUUGAACUCGCUGUGAAGAUGCAGUGUACCCGCGGCAAGACGGAAAGACCCCGUGAACCUUUACUAUAGCUUGACACUGAACAUUGAGCCUUGAUGUGUAGGAUAGGUGGGAGGCUUUGAAGUGUGGACGCCAGUCUGCAUGGAGCCGACCUUGAAAUACCACCCUUUAAUGUUUGAUGUUCUAACGUGGACCCGUAAUCCGGGUUGCGGACAGUGUCUGGUGGGUAGUUUGACUGGGGCGGUCUCCUCCUAAAGAGUAACGGAGGAGCACGAAGGUUGGCUAAUCCUGGUCGGACAUCAGGAGGUUAGUGCAAUGGCAUAAGCCAGCUUGACUGCGAGCGUGACGGCGCGAGCAGGUGCGAAAGCAGGUCAUAGUGAUCCGGUGGUUCUGAAUGGAAGGGCCAUCGCUCAACGGAUAAAAGGUACUCCGGGGAUAACAGGCUGAUACCGCCCAAGAGUUCAUAUCGACGGCGGUGUUUGGCACCUCGAUGUCGGCUCAUCACAUCCUGGGGCUGAAGUAGGUCCCAAGGGUAUGGCUGUUCGCCAUUUAAAGUGGUACGCGAGCUGGGUUUAGAACGUCGUGAGACAGUUCGGUCCCUAUCUGCCGUGGGCGCUGGAGAACUGAGGGGGGCUGCUCCUAGUACGAGAGGACCGGAGUGGACGCAUCACUGGUGUUCGGGUUGUCAUGCCAAUGGCACUGCCCGGUAGCUAAAUGCGGAAGAGAUAAGUGCUGAAAGCAUCUAA